rnacentral:lncRNA from 1 species
GAACAACAACAACAAACCCAGUGUAUUCCCACUUAGUGGGGUCUGGGGGGGGUAAGAUGUACGCAGUCCAUACCUCUACCUCUGAAGAAGUAGAAAGGCUGUUUCCGAAAGACCCCCGGCUCAAGGCACAAGAUAUCACACAAACACAUAGUAAAGCACAGAAGCAGAUGACAUAACAUAAAUACGGCUCCCAUAAGGAAUAUAAA